AUGGAUCUAAAUUACAAAAUACACACACGUAAAAAAAUGUAAAAUAUUUUAAAAAGAUAUUACAAAAACAUGAUAUGUUCAAUCAAUCAAUCCGCAAUUCAUUCUUUCGAAUUUCGAUUGAGGUUUGAAAUUAUAAAAUAAUAUUAUUAUUUUCACCAAACGAGCCAAAAAACUAAAAAGGACUGACACCGAUGCCGACGGCAAACGGCCAUCGACGGCUGAGAGAAGGACGGAGUAGUUGCUGUCUCUCUCCGUCAAUAAAGGCCACAUGCCGCAGAGAGUUCCUUUCGGCCGACGGCUAAGUCUGCCAUUUCGCACUUUUUGCAGAGGCUAAAGAGGGGAAAGAAAAGGAAAAGAAGAAGACCUUAAACCGGACAUGUCUGAAAUCUGUUACGUGAAGAGGGUAAAAUCGUC
rnacentral:lncRNA from 1 species